UACGAAGGGUGCAAGCGUUACUCGGAAUUACUGGGCGUAAAGCGUGCGUAGGUGGUUUGUUAAGUCUGUUGUGAAAGCCCCGGGCUCAACCUGGGAAUGGCAAUGGAUACUGGCAAGCUAGAGUGCGGUAGAGGGUAGUGGAAUUCCCGGUGUAGUGGUGAAAUGCGUAGAGAUCGGGAGGAACACCAGUGGCGAAGGCGGCGACCUGGGUAGAUACUGACGCUGAGGCGCGAAAGCGUGGGGAUCAAACAGG
rnacentral:rRNA from 1 species